UACGUAGGGUGCAAGCGUUGUCCGGAAUUAUUGGGCGUAAAGAGCUCGUAGGCGGUUUGUCGCGUCUGCUGUGAAAACGCGAGGCUCAACCUCGCGCCUGCAGUGGGUACGGGCAGACUAGAGUGCGGUAGGGGAGAUUGGAAUUCCUGGUGUAGCGGUGGAAUGCGCAGAUAUCAGGAGGAACACCAGUGGCGAAGGCGGUUGCCUGGGGCUUUGCUGACGCUGAUGCGCGAAAGCGUGGGGGAGCGAUCCGG
rnacentral:rRNA from 1 species